AAUCAACGCUGGCGGCGUGCCUAACACAUGCAAGUCGAACGCGAAAGGGGCUUCGGCCCUGAGUAGAGUGGCGAACGGGUGAGUAACGCGUGGGUGACCUACCCUUGAGUGGGGGAUAACGUUCCGAAAGGGACGCUAAUACCGCAUGACAUUCUGGGUUCGAAGACCUGGAAAUCAAAGCCGGGGACCGCAAGGCCUGGCGCUCGAGGAGGGGCCCGCGUCUGAUUAGCUAGUUGGCGGGGUAAUGGCCCACCAAGGCGACGAUCAGUAGCCGGCCUGAGAGGGCGGACGGCCACACUGGGACUGAGACACGGCCCAGACUCCUACGGGAGGCAGCAGUGGGGAAUUGUUCGCAAUGGGCGCAAGCCUGACGACGCAACGCCGCGUGGAGGAUGAAGGUCUUCGGAUUGUAAACUCCUGUUGAUCGGGACGAAAAGCUUCGACCUAACACGUCGGAGACUGACGGUACCGGUUGAGGAAGCCACGGCUAACUCUGUGC
rnacentral:rRNA from 1 species